rnacentral:misc_RNA from 1 species
GGCAUUAAGAGUGCAAAUGGAAGUUCAUAGUAAAUUAUAUCUGCAAGUUGAGGUAAAAUUUUCCUCAUAUGUAGUAAUCAUCACUCGUCUGCCCCAAUUUUGGACUGUUUCCAUGAAUGACAUGCUUGCUGACGGUUACUUGGCUGUGGGUUUGUUUAGGCUAAAGAAAUUGAUUUGAUAAUUCUGGGCCUCUUGAUAACUGCUUUUGAUGGCAGUGCAAACUUGCACAAGAUAGCAAUUACCUGAUAAUUAUCAAAACUUCGCUCGCUUGUUUAAAUAGGAACUAUCAAGACUUUGGAUCUGGCCUUGCAAUGUGCAGUACUUUUCUUUUGGUAAGGUUCCCUGUGCCCCAACUAGCUGAUCUUCAUACUUUUUUUGUGUAGGUGGAGAAGCAUUUGCAAAUUCGCCAGG